rnacentral:lncRNA from 1 species
UCAAAUGUUUUUUUCCUGGAAUUUUUGAUCUACGAAUUUACUUAUUUGACAAAUCAAAGUGGAGCAUAUGGCUUUUGAAUAAAAUAUCAAUUAAUGUUAAGAUAAUGCUUAAAAAGCAACCAAUCAGAUAAUUAACAAAACAAUUGUUAGCAAGAAAUUGGCCCUAAACUCAUUCGAUGUUUUAGUUAAAUCCCUAUUUUUUCUCUGAUUACCACUAUCACGUGCAUGUUAUCUAUAACUUCCAAAUCGUGGCAUGAUUUUAAACUGUUUCGUCUUUUAUAUACU